rfam:Sorghum bicolor cultivar BTx623 chromosome 9, whole genome shotgun sequence.
AUUCCAUGAUGGCGACAUUCUAGGGUGUAGUCUUGGAAGCGCUCCCAUGCUUCUGGAACGGAUUCAUCAUGUUGUUGCUGAAAACUUGUAAUUUUCCCACGGAGAGC